GAUAAACGCUGGCGGCGCACAUAAGACAUGCAAGUCGAACGGACUUAACCAUUAGUUUACUAUUGGAGCGGUUAGUGGCGGACUGGUGAGUAACACGUAAGCAACCUGCCUAUCAGAGGGGAACAACAGUUAGAAAUGACUGCUAAUACCGCAUAUGCCUAAGUACCACAUGGUACAAUAGGGAAAGGAGCAAUCCGCUGAUAGAUGGGCUUGCGUCUGAUUAGAUAGUUGGUGGGGUAACGGCCUACCAAGUCGACGAUCAGUAGCCGGACUGAGAGGUUGAUCGGCCACAUUGGGACUGAGACACGGCCCAGACUCCUACGGGAGGCAGCAGUGGGGAAUAUUGCACAAUGGGGGAAACCCUGAUGCAGCGACGCCGCGUGAGGGAAGAAGGUAUUCGUAUUGUAAACCUCUGUCUUCGGGGGACGAUAAUGACGGUACCCGAGGAGGAAGCACCGGCUAACUACGUG
rnacentral:rRNA from 1 species